ensembl:snRNA U1 U1 spliceosomal RNA
AUACUUACCUGGCAGGGGAGAUACCAUGAUCACAUAGGUGGUUUUUCCAGGGCAACGCUUAUCCAUUGCACUCUAGCUAUGCUGACCCUGCGAUUUCCCCAAACGCAGCAAACUACUGCAUAAUUUGUGGUAAUGGGGACUGCAUUUGUGCCCCCCCCCA